rnacentral:rRNA from 1 species
CGAGGUUGGUUUAGGUUUAAGUACAGAUGUAGAAACGGCCCGGGGCUACAACCGUACGGUAAUUGCUAUUAGUAAACGUGGACAAACUAGAGUACUGUAGGAGGGGGGUAGGAAUUUCAGGUGUAGCGGUGAAAUGCGUAGAGAUCUGAAGGAAUACCGGUGGCGAAGGCGGCCCCCUGGACAGAUACUGACACUCAGAUGCGAAAGCGUGGGGAGCAAACAGGAUUAGAUACCCUGGUAG